CACGCCGUAAACGAUGAAUACUAGGUGUCGGGGGUAUCGACUCCCCCUGUGCCGCAGCUAACGCAUUAAGUAUUCCACCUGAGUAGUACGGUCGCAAGACUGAAACUCAAAGGAAUUGACGGGGACCCGCACAAGCAGUGGAGUAUGUGGUUUAAUUCGAGGCAACGCGAAGAACCUUACCAAGGCUUGACAUCCCGCGACAAACGUGGAAACACGUCUUCCCCUUCGGGGGCGCGGAGACAGGUGG
rnacentral:rRNA from 1 species